rnacentral:rRNA from 1 species
GAUUGCCUCAGUAACGGCGAGUGAAGCGGCAACAGCUCAAAUUUGAAAUCUGGCCCCAGGCCCGAGUUGUAAUUUGCAGAGGAUGCUUUUGGCGAGGUGCCUUCCGAGUUCCCUGGAACGGGACGCCAUAGAGGGUGAGAGCCCCGUACGGUUGGACACCAAGUCUUUGUAAAGCUCCUUCGACGAGUCGAGUAGUUUGGGAAUGCUGCUCAAAAUGGGAGGUAUAUUUCUUCUAAAGCUAAAUAUUGGCCAGAGACCGAUAGCGCACAAGUAGAGUGAUCGAAAGAUGAAAAGCACUUUGAAAAGAGGGUUAAACAGCACGUGAAAUUGCUGAAAGGGAAGCGCUUAUGACCAGACUUGCGCCCGGUGAAUCACCCAGCUCUCGCGGCUGGGGCACUUUGCCGGCUCAGGCCAGCAUCAGCUCGCUGUCGGGGACAAAAGCUUCGGGAACGUAGCUCUCUUCGGGGAGUGUUAUASCCCGUUGCAUAAUACCCUUCGGCGGGCUGAGGUACGCGCUCCGCAAGGAUGCUG